UAAACAGAAAGAUAAUGCUUAUAGUACGUAAAAAGCAAAUGGAAAGAUGGACUGUCAUGGAUUAUGCUCCUGAGCCAUUAUCAAAGAGUCCUAUAAAUGUUACAGUUCUCUAGAGAAGAAAUCGGAAAGGAAAAGUGCUCCUUUUUUUCAAAUCCACUAAUAGUGAGAAGAAAAGAAGAAAAAUAUGUUACAAGCUUUAACUGGACUCCAAUUUCACCUGAAAGAACAAUUAGGAGAAAAGCAGAGGAGGUUUCAACUCAGCCGGGAAACCAGGGCCCAGCAUACAGAAUUCCACAUGCAGUUUUCAUGCAAACCAGUGUUUCAGAGACUUUUUCCAGAAAGACCAGAAAUUUCUACAAGUCAAUUACCAUACUUUUC